GAUCCCAUGCGUCGUGGUGGUAUCGUUUCUAUCCUUAUCUCACUAGCCAGCCUUAUCUUCUCGAGACAAAGCCAAAGCCAGUCGAAGAAAUCCCCAUCCCCUUGCCUCGCUCUCUCUCCUUCUCUCCUCGACUCCCUUGCUAUCGCUAGACAUAGAUCAGUGCAACGGCAGCGAUGUCGGGAUGCUACAACCUACUUGGUGGGAUGCUGGAACCGCGGCCAGGCGGAGCUGCAACUGUGGCCUAGAAAAGCUGGAACCGUGCCGGAUGCUGUUUGCUGGAGCACACAGAUGCAACAAUCGUUGAUCCAGGAGCUGCAACCGGACCUGGUUUUUGCUGGAACCGGCGACCAUAGCGAGCUGUAGGGUGAGCACGGUGAGCUGCAGGGGUUACCAUGACAAGUUUGUGCAGAGGGGCAAGGGGUGCUGCAACCACAACCAGGUUUGCUGGCCGCUACAAAUAAGUCAGAUGAUUUCCUGAGGAAAUCAUCCGCCUAGCCAGCCGUCGGAUCUGCGCGCUUGUAGCCGUUCGAUCACUGGAACGCCACGGCAACAACGACCACGCUACGCUUCAACGCAGCGCUAAUGGCACCCUGUCAAAGCUUCACUGCAGCUCUCAUGGCGCACUGCGCGGCGAAAAUUGCUUCAACGCAACAUCGACAGCGUCUAGCGAAGCACCAUUGUAGCCCCGGCGGAGCUCCAACGCAGCAUCAACGACGCCGACGAAGCUUCAUUGCAACUCCGGCGAAGCUCCAUUGCAGCGCCCGGUAUGCUUCCGGCGACCCGGCGUUGCUCCAUUGCAACACCAGCGGUGCUCCCUGACAGCUUCGAGGCAACAUCACCGGAGUUGCAGCGCCUCCGGCGGCCACUCGCCGCAGUCACCAUCGCAACACCGCGCGGUGCUCCAUUGCAACUCAUGGAGACGCCAAUGGCGGGCGGUGGUCGGCGCAGAAGCUACACUCGAUUCGUGGUCUCCGGCGCGGCGGUGCUCAGUCGUAGCACCACCUGCCUCCGUCGCAGCUCCAUCACCUCUCUCUCCUCUCCAUGGCUUUGGGCGGCGGGGAUUGGAUCAUCCCUCAAACGCGACAGGAAGGAGGGAGAGGGGGGGGAAGCAAUUCUCCGGCGGUGGUGACGGCCGGCUCUGCUUCCUCCCGGCGGCGUCUGCAUCAGGGAGAGGCGAGAGGGGGAGAGACGAGGGAGAGAGAGAUGCGGGAGAAGAAGAUGACCCGUGUGUGGAUGACGAUAGGAGAGGAUAAGGCUGGGCGGUUGCCAGCGACGCGUGGGGCUGGACACGUGUCGUGCUUUCCAGGCGGCUUACCCGGCGUGGAAAUAAGUCGGCUUAAUUUAAACGUUUUCCUUUUUCAAUUGAUUCAACCGGAGCGGCAAUCUUUUUUCGACAACCUUUUUGUUUGCAAGUGUCGAUGGCGAGCGUUGCCAUCGAGCACGGCGGCGACUGUCGACGGUGAGGCAAACGGGGGAGGGCGACGGCGCACUGCGCGACGCGGCGAAGCCGGCGAUGGGGCGGCCGCCAUGACCUGCGGCGGUGCUUUCUUCAGAUCUGAAAACGUGACGGGGUGACAAGCGGUAGGGGAAGGGCGCGAUCCGACGGCUAUGUGGGGGCGCAUCUACAGCCAGGGUUGGACCGGCCCAAAGUUUGGGCCGGCGCACCGGCGCAGAGUGCUGCCCUUUUGUAAAAACAAACACAAAAAUCGGUUCACCUUGGUUCACCUGCAUACUCAAAAUGGACCUUGGACUCUGCUUGUCCGACAGGUGCAUGCGGCGAGAGAUCAGAUCCGCACGCCACUGCUGAUGUGCACCGAAUAAGAAUGGGAAACUCUUUCUAUCUGUAGUCUGAUAGACAUCCAGCCUCAGACCAGUCCAACACCGUCGAUCCAAUUGAAAUCUCACGGCUCACAAAUUGUGCUUCUUACGUAAGAAAAAAAAAUUGGCAGGGAAGUAACUACCCACAGCCACCGCGCGUAAUCCUCUCCCCUAAUAUCUCCCGAUUCCAAUCGCAGCAGCACCGUCUCCUCCACCUCGACCAGAUCCAUUCCCCCCGCCUCGCACGCACCUUCGUCCUGCUCUCCUCGCCGUCGAGCAUCACGGCCACGGCCAGCUCCGCCCCCUGCCUCUCCAAAACCUCAUCCACUAAUCAAGCCGCCCAUCCUCAUCUUGAUUCACGCUUUUUUUCAGGUCAAAUCAGGUGCUCCAGCGGCUGAAGCGGCCACCGGAGUUGCACCGGCCGGCCGGAUAACCUACAGUGGAUUGCAAAAUCCACCCCCACCACCCCAAUUACAAGCGCCCCGUAUUGAAAUCGAAGACAUUUUACAGCACCUUAUUAUUCCAACAAUGCCUUUUUGUUCCCAAUACAAUUCCAAUGAUGGUACCAUCACACUGAGUGUGCUUUCAACGGGACCAGACGUCGAUUUAUGUUCGCUGACUGCCUUUUCAAGGAUAGAGAGCUUAUGGCGCGCGUACAAGAUCAAUCAGUUCAGCAGGCACUGUGACUUAGGCUAGGCAAAAAUGAAAAUAUUGUUGUUGUAAAUUGUUUCUUAUUUCUUCUUGUAAAAAUAGGUGUAAACCGUUACUCAUAUCGAGUAUAUUUGUAUACAUGGUCUGUGAGUUCCGUCAUGCUUCCACACUCUGAAGCAAUAUUGAUACAAUCAGGAAGCAACUAACAUGAGCAUGUGCAUGCAUUUUGGUUUA